rnacentral:rRNA from 1 species
AACGAACGCUGGCGGCAUGCCUAACACAUGCAAGUCGAACGAGACCUUCGGGUCUUGUGGCGCACGGGUGCGUAACGCGUGGGAACCUGCCCUUAGGUUCGGAAUAACUCCCCGAAAGGGGUGCUAAUACCGGAUAAUGUCUUCGGACCAAAGAUUUAUCGCCUUUGGAUGGGCCCGCGUUGGAUUAGCUAGUUGGUAGGGUAAAAGCCUACCAAGGCGACGAUCCAUAGCUGGUCUGAGAGGAUGAUCAGCCACACUGGGACUGAGACACGGCCCAGACUCGUACGGGAGGCAGCAGUGGGGAAUAUUAGACAAGGGGCGAAAGCCUGAUCCAGCAAUGCCGCGUGAGUGAUGAAGGCCUUAGGGUUGUAAAGCUCUUUUACACGGGAUGAUAAUGACAGUACCGGGAGAAUAAGCGCCGGCUAACUCCGUG